UAAUGUAUCUUAUGUUUCAUGUUUCAUGAUAAGAUUUCAUUCACGAAUCGGAAAAUAGUUCUUUUGAUUUAGGAUUUGAAUCUCAAUUUGAUAAUCAUGCCAACAAUUGAAUGGAAUACAUAACAAUGGAAUUCACAACUAAUUAAUGUGUAUUUAAAUCUAAAUAAGGGGUGAUAACCUUUUUUUCUGCAUAGGGGGGAUGGGGAAUACAUGUCUUUUCUCUUUUUUAUUUGCAAAACAAAUUACCAAAUGUCGAUUUUCUUUAUUCACAAUGGCAGAUGUAAUUUUCAACAAGGAAGAAGAUGUCAUUUCUCCGGAAAAUGAUGUCAUUGAUGGUCCGCUGUGUUUCUAUGAUGUGCUUGCUGAUUACUUUGUACAUGUGCCUGAAAGUGGGAAGCCCGUCCUUGACUUGAUUGUCCAACUUUGGAGCCAGUCAUUUGCUUCACAUAUUUUUAGCCUCUUGUUUCACAAAUGGGUAUGUAAGCUUGUCUCUGCCAUAUUGUCUUUUGCUCUCUUGAGGGAAGUUUUACUUAGCUUGAUAGUAUUAGUAUGGUCAUCCAUUACUGGUUUUGAAUUUGAACAUUUACAAUUCUAAAAAAAAGUGAGUCGUCUUAAUGGCAUGGUUACAUUCUGACAAAUAUGAACAUCCUCAAAUUGACUAAUGAUAUUCUGAGGCAUACCUGAUUAUGGCUAUAUAUUCCUUUUUCUCUUAGCUGGUUAUAGAGUGGGUGGCAAUUCCCCAUUUCACUUGACUAACAAUAUGUAUAACCUUUUUCUCUUAGUUGGUUAUAGAGUGGGUGGCAAUUCCCGAUUUCACUUGACUACCAUUUCUUCUUGUUCAUUCAAAUUUUGAAAUGCUUAUGAGUAUUUAGAACCUUCAUCAACGGUUUCUAAAAUUCAUUCUUUUCCUGAUAUUGGUACAAAAUUUCUGUCUACUAGUAGUAUAGCACCUAUUUUGUCAAAUGCUUGAAAUAGGUUUCAGAUUUAAUCCUUGGGAACCAGUGCAUACUAUUGUAAAUAUGUAGUAUGUAAGAUAAGUGACAUAUAUAGUAUAAUUAUUUCAUUUUGAUAAUGUGAGUGGUAUAUAUGAUACUAUUAUGUAUAAAUGAAAUGAGUGCUGAUAUAUAUAUAUAUAUAUAUAUAUAUAUAUAUAUAUAUAUAUAUAUAUAUAUAUAUAUAUAUNCUGUCAAAAUAAAUUUUGUCCACCGUCAAUACAAACACACACUUAAAAUUGGUUAUGAGAAUUGUGUUUUUACUUUUUACAUAGCACUGGUUUGAGAUUAGAUGUUUUUUUUUUGCUUGGGUAUAUUUCAUUUCUGUUAUUUCCCUUCUGUUGUAAGGAGUCAAUCUCCAUAUUUCCUAAAGAAAUCUUAGUUCCUAUUUUCUAAUUGACAUUCAAGAAUCACUGUUUGAGCUCUUUUAUUUAGUCCUAAUUGGGGUAAUAUUGUAAAACAUAUUUCUAGCUGUUUAGUUGUAUAUAACUUUUUAAUACCUUAAUGCAGAUGUUUGAAGUUCAUCUUGAUAAUCCAGAAGUGCUCCUACGGUAUUCAUCUGCCCUGGUUCAAGGUGCCACAAAUGUUUUCUGGUAUGAAUACAGGCUGUUAUAAAGUAAAAUGUUAAUUAAUUGGAUAUAACUUGCAAAAAGACCAGGCAGAUUUGGAUUGGCUGGCAUUUAUAAGUUAAAAUUAUAUUCACUUUGAAAAACCAUGCUCUGAAAAGAUAUGAACUUCAUUUCAUGCUCCACUCCACUCCUAAAUGGAAAUAAGAAGAAUAUGUGUGAACUCUCUUUAUCAUCUUUCUUUUAAAAACAAUAUUUGCUUGCAUUACAUGAUUUUAUCAAUAGUCUUUCUAUGCCAAAUCAAUAGCAAUCCGUUUGACCUUAUCCUAAUCCAUUAAAAACAAAACAGAAAGUAAUUGAAAAUUUGGAAAAUGUUAGUAAGAGUGUCUUCAUGGGCUAAAACCUCUACUAUGAUAGAGUUGAUAUUGUACCAUAUUUGGAAAAUCAAUUUGAGAAUUGCAAUAGUCAUUUUUGGUGCCAUGUACAGGAUUGACAUUCAGACAAAUACAAAGCGUUUCCGGUCUAUAUUCCGUGUAAGGGUUCUAGUUGGAUCCUAUAUUUAUUUUAACUAUUAUGUAUCAUCUGAAUAAUAUUAUAAUCAUUGUUUCUUUUCCCAAUUCUUUUGCAUAUUCCUUGUGUUUCCCUCAAAUUCAGUACCUCUUGGAUGAUGAUGCAUUACACCACAGUAGAUUGAAUAAAAUUCCUCUCCAGGUAUACCAUAUCAGUUUUAGUUUUUGGCAUUUUAUAAAUGCUGCCUACAAUUUUUUAUAGGACCUUUAGCUAGUCUACUUUUGUUGCUGGCAAUGGCAUUCUGAAAUUUUUUACUUUUCAUUGAACUAUCAGGCUCAGCGAGAUAUGUAUCUUUUGCUCUCAAGGUUCAUUCUAUUUUACAAUUCAGGUAGCCAUUCAGAGAAGUUAUUAGCCUAUAAAUAAUAAUGCAAUAGUCUCUAAAUCUAAUAUUGCCCUCUUUGCAGCUGGCAAAAUCGAUAGCUUCUUGAAACAAUGUCCUGUUUUUCAAACUGCCUUCUUAGUUGGCAGUCCGGCAGAUAUAUUUGUGAAUGAACUCACGGAUCAGGUACAUCUGAAUCACCUUUUUUCACAAUUGAAAACCAUAUCCUCUGUUUCAUAUAAAGAAAUUAUGUUACCUACACUUAAUUGUUGCUGUUGAUUUUUUUAACAGCUUCAAAAGCUUAAGGUGGAACCUGUACUGCUGCAUUAUCUUUCAUAAAUCAAGGUCCUUCAGGGUACUAAACCAACCAUUCAGGUUCAAUAGUUGGACAUGGAAUAUUCUUCUCUCAACCUGACUCAGCUAAGUCAUUCUUUUGUUUAUGUUAAUGGCACAGGUAUGGAAUUGAGAAUGACGACAAGUACGAGAUUGAAAACAUGUUUGUAUAGUUUUACUUCUCCUGGUGGUCCAAUGUACCCGACCAGAGCUGUUCGUCAUGCUGCAUGGGAAGCACUAGAUUUUCUUUUUCCGGUUAGUCUUAUUAUUAAUAAUUAAAGCACUAGAGUUUCUUUUUCCGUUAGUAUUAUUAUUACUUAAUAAUUAGUAUUCAAACCAAAUUAUAACAAAUUGCAAGAGCUUUGUCCUCGCCGGCCCAAAAUGCCUUUUUUCACUUUAAAUAUUUUUAGGUCCCAUCAUUGUUAAAUACUUGACUUUUAUUAAAACCUUUUUAAGUUUUAUAGGUGGGAUUAUAUGACUAUUAAACUGUUUAAAUUUCCAAUAGAUGAAGGGAAACAUUAAUGGCUUUUUAAAAUGAUUUCAUAGAAUCUGCACACAGAUGAUGUGUUUUUCCCUUUUAGCUUUUUCAACUUAUUUCUGAAAGGGUGGAUUGUUUGUGUAUAUGCCGUAUAGUUCAUAGUUAAGAUAUCAAUAUAGCAUAUUGAUAAAUAAGUGUAAUAUCUUAACUCAUAAGCACGAGCUUCAUGCACGCACCAAGUACUAGUCCGAUAAAUAAAUAUUAAUGUUGAUUUUCUGCUAUGAUGCAGGUUGGGCAAUACCCUCGGCAUCUCAUAAGUCUGUUCUUCAGGUUGCUCUAUCCAUGGUAUUGGCCAUCCUCUUGUUGGAACUUUGUGGUUUCGUGCAUUCAUGCUAUCUUUUACUCCUUACUGAGGUUGAUAUUUUCUACGUGGGAAAAAAUUGCCAAACCAAAAACACAGUAAAUGUCCAUAUGUCCUGAAGAUAUUGGAGUUCAUGCAUAGAACCCGGGUCAUCUCUUGCCAACCAGCACGAAUGCCUUCUCUGAUAUUUCUUUUUUCCACUCAAUGUGAUGUACAUAUCAUUUUUUGAAUUAAUAUGUACAAUUUUUAUCAGAGAAGGCAUAUUAUUCAGGUUCAUUCGUUCAUAUCAUUUUUUGAAUUAAUAUGUACAAUUUCUAUAAAAAUGUGAAGCCUUUUUUUGAUUUGAACAUUUUCUCACUCGUCUUAAUGACUUUUUGUUGGCUUUCUUGUAGUGAGCUUAUUUACUUUUCAAUGCUUACAUUGAUAAUGUUUUGUGGAUUUUGUAGGAGGAAAACUUGGAAGAGGUCAUUGCACUUACUGUGAUAUAACUGUUAAAUUGUUUGUCUCACACAUAUCUUUCAGAUGCAAAGGAUAAUACUGACAUUAUGAAUUUUGUUACAGGCCCCGCCCAGGGAGCAAGCGUAUGUGACAUUUUCAUUGUAUUAGAUUGUGUUGAUCCUACUAUUGCUAGCAAUUUAAGGCAUCCCAUGAUGUACCAUUUUGCAGGGGGUUCCAUGAGAUAUAGAAAGUGAUGCAGGUCACCUUUGAUUUGGAAGCAUAAUCCAGUCUGCAUCCCAGCUCUUUCUCGUAUUAAGUUUCAUGCACUUCAUUAGAUUAAAUCACAUACGUUUGUGAUUCUGGUAGAUGGAAAGUGUUGUCAUUUUUUAAAAUUAUUUAGGUCGAAUGCCAGUAAUUUCCAAUGCAAUUUGUUUUUAAUUCAAGUCAUGAUGGUAACGUUUAUCGUAGGAAACAGAUUCUAUGCAUUUGAAGAUGUUGUUUUUUCUAUUAACAAAUGUUAAUAUGUUAGUUUUAUUAUGGUGUGGGUAGGACUAGAACCAUCAACCUCAACUCUCUCACUCCAUCCUCAAACCACCAAACCAAGUUUAUAUCUCUCUAUAUAAUGAUAUGGUCUAGUUUUGUCUUAGCAUUUAGGAGCUUUAAUCUACAUUCUAAUGUACAUAAUUUAUGGAGAUAUAUUAUUAUAUUUCUAUAUUGGCGGAGCUGUAGAGGUAGUAACUGCACAAACUCUCGGUACUUAAAUGAGUUAUUGAUAAUUUCAUACUGGACCGUAUGAAUUUAUUGAGGAACUUCACAGUUACUGAAUAUGAUUCCAUUUUGUAUGACUUCCAAAAUCAUAUUUUCUAAUUUGUACAAAUUUGCUUUAGUGGUUUUUCUUCAAUGAAGUUACAACAUAGCUACAGUUCAUUUAAAAUUAGCCAUCUUCUUCUUGUGUCGUCUAUAAGAAAAAUUGCACGGUUGACUUAAUAUAUCCUUGUUAUGGUUUUAUGGACAAUCUUUCUCGAUUAUUAUUAUUUGAUUGUGCAAUUGUGAAGUUGUUAUGAUCUGCUUGUGAUUAGUAUGUUCUUUUAUUUACCAAAAUUAUUUGAAUUCAUAACUAACUUGAUCGUCGGAGUUUUUGCAGGUACCACACCUUUGGUGUGUCAUGCUAUGCUCAUGAGUAUGAUGAAACAGAAAGGAAAUGCAACAUCUUAAAAACAUGGUAGGAAGUUUACCUUUGAUUUGAGCUGCUGGCCAUGCUUAACAGUCCGGUCUUCAACCGAGCUGAGUGAAUGAGAUUCAUUGACAUGGGGGGCCUUCUGAAACUUGAUUUUACUUAUAAAUGUCAUGUUUUUAUUGGUAAUGUAUCUUAUGUUUCAUGUUUCAUGAUAAGAUUUCAUUCACGAAUCGGAAAAUAGUUCUUUUGAUUUAGGAUUUGAAUCUCAAUUUGAUAAUCAUGCCAACAAUUGAAUGGAAUACAUAACAAUGGAAUUCACAACUAAUUAAUGUGUAUUUAAAUCUAAAUAAGGGGUGAUAACCUUUUUUUCUGCAUAGGGGGGAUGGGGAAUACAUGUCUUUUCUCUUUUUUAUUUGCAAAACAAAUUACCAAAUGUCGAUUUUCUUUAUUCACAAUGGCAGAUGUAAU
rnacentral:lncRNA from 1 species